GACCAGACUCCUACGGGAGGCAGCAGUGGGGAAUAUUGCACAAUGGGGGAAACCCUGAUGCAGCGACGCCGCGUGAGUGAAGAAGUAUUUCGGUAUGUAAAGCUCUAUCAGCAGGGAAGAAAAUGACGGUACCUGACUAAGAAGCCCCGGCUAACUACGUGCCAGCAGCCGCGGUAAUACGUAGGGGGCAAGCGUUAUCCGGAUUUACUGGGUGUAAAGGGAGCGUAGACGGCAUGGCAAGUCAGAUGUGAAAGCCCGGGGCUCAACCCCGGGACUGCAUUUGAAACUGUCAGGCUGGAGUGCAGGAGAGGUAAGUGGAAUUCCUAGUGUAGCGGUGAAAUGCGUAGAUAUUAGGAGGAACACCAGUGGCGAAGGCGGCUUACUGGACUGUAACUGACGUUGAGGCUCGAAAGCGUGGGGAGCAAACAGGAUUAGAUACCCCGGUAACC
rnacentral:rRNA from 1 species